rnacentral:lncRNA from 1 species
UUUACAUAUGAAGUCCUGAACUUGAAAAUGUUGAGGACUUUUUGGUCAUUUAGGUCAUUGCUGAGUGUUUGAGUCAUCUUUUUCUCUGCUCUGACCAAAAGCCCCGAUGAGAAGAGUUUUAGAGAAGUUUAUCUGGGGGCUCAUGGCUUCAGAGGUCUCAGUCCUCAGACAGCAGGCUCCAGUGUCGUGUGUCCGAGGUGAGGCCAAGCAUCAUGGCGGAAAUCUGUUGGAGGAAAGCAACUCAGGACAUGGCGCGGGGACGCAGAAAGACUAAGCUGACUCACCGGGGACAAAACGUAUCCCCAAAGGCAUGGCCCCAGGGACCCAUCUCCUCCAGGCACACCCUCCCUGCCAAUAGCCACCACCUGGGAAUCCUGUCGGGGGAAUAAUGCGUUGAUCAGGUUAAGGCUCUCAUGACCCAUCUCGGAACCUUCUUGCACUGUCUCACAUAUGAGCUUUUGGGGGACACCUCAUGACACAACCAUAACAGUGGGCAAUUGAUUUUUAAUGAUUCCAGGGCUUUAAUUCUUUUGUGCUCAAUAGUGGGAAAAUGAACUUGCGACUCAGGGACAACUCAAAACAACGGGCAAAAGUGCUGUCAUCGUAGAUGCAGCAUCACAAGCCACAUGACCUUGCCGGUUGUCCUCCCUCCCUCCCUCCUCUUCUUCCUCCGUCUCCCUCUUCUUCUCCUUCUUGUGCUACUGGGAAUGGAGCCCAGGGCCUCAGGCAUGCGAGGCAAGAUCAGCCACUGAGCUGCACCCCAGGCCCUGGACAAAACUCCUGCUUGUAGGAACUGGGAGAAGCUGGACUCCCUGGUUGCUGUUGGCAGGUGUGGGAGGAGUGGGCUCUUUCUACUUUGUCCCAGAGUAACUCCACGUUCUACUUGGACCCUUCCACACUGUCUCAGCUGCUCCUGUGCCUCUUUGUGGAUCGUUUCCCACUCAAACAAGCAGUGGGUUAAACAGUAAUACGAGCCCUCAGUGAGGGCGACUGUGCUUUACUCAGAAACUGGAAGUGCCACUCUCUGCACACAAUGCCAAGCACAGCUGCAUGAUCACCUGGGGCUCCAGCUACUCUGGACCUGGAUCGGGAUCUUUGCUCCUGCUUCUCUCUGCCUUGAGCCCCUAGGGAGGGUUUGAUUCUGCGAGACUCCUUGCAGGCCUUUGCCAUGCCCACCUAGAGUCUCAACUCUGGCUACCAAGACAAAUGCCACAGACUGGGGAGCUCAAGUAAGAGACAUCUACUUCUUACAGUUCUGGCCUGAAAGCCCAGGCUCAGAGUGCCAGCCAGCGCGGUCAGCUCCUGGUGAGGUCCUCUCCCUGACUUGCCAGCAGCCACCAGCUUGCCGCGUCCUCACAUGGUGGAGAGGGGAGUGAGCUCUUUGGUCUCUGCCUGUGAGAGCAGCAAUCCCAACACAAGAGCCCCAUGCUAAGACUUCAUCCAGCCCCGAUGACUCCCAGGGGAUCCAAACUCCACCCCACUGGGGACUCAAGUUACGAAUUUCGGCAGGGUGAUACAAACAUUCAG